rnacentral:lncRNA from 1 species
GUGAAAUAGUCGUUUGGGUUCGUGGGAGAGUGUGGUUAUGAGGGUAUUGAAGUAAUUAACUUUUGCAGAGGAAAGAGCUAAGCUGUAUGAGCUCAGCAUAAAUUUAUAGUGGAGAAAGUCAGAUGCACAGUGAGACUUUCUCCAACAGCAUUCAGCAGUUCUGGAGCAUUUUUGGAGGUAUUGAGUGAGCUUGGUGUGCCAGGGUUGUUG